rnacentral:lncRNA from 1 species
CCUCCCGUUCGCGCUGCCAGCAGCUUCCGCCUGCUGCGGUCCUGGCAAGCACCUCGGGAUCUCAUUCCUUCACAGGGGCCCUAGCCGGUUAAAGCUGAUACAUUCCUGUGGGUCAACUAUGCAACUAACUCAGAUUUUGAGCAAACAAAGCUCUCAAGUUGGUGAUCCUCAGGAGUCUCUGCAUUAGUUGGACAGCUCUUCUGGAAUUAUCUUCUAAGUCAACUGUGGGUUGGGUAGGUGGCUCUGCUGAUUUUUUGCUGGACUUCCACAUUUGGGACCAGUUGGCUGUCAUCAGCUCUAGAAAGGGUGUGGCUGUUUUACAUUGGCUGUUUUCCUCACAUUCCUCAAGCAGGUACUGUAAUAAAGAACUGGAGAAAUAAAGUCAGAUGGGAAGUAGCCCCUGCUGUCAAGGAGCUUGCCAUCUAAUGGGGGAGACAGGCAAGUAAACCAAAGACUACACAGUGCAGUAUGGUAAGUGCCAUGAUUUUGAUAUGACAGGGCACAGUGGAAGACCUUCCAAAUCAAAGCAAGUAAGUAAGGGUUGACAAUGGUAAGUAUCAUAGUUGAAGUAUCCUUGAACAAGGUUUCAGGAAGAAGAAUAAGGGAAUUUCAUGCAGGGAAACAGCCAAAGCUCAGUGAGUCAAAAUAUCACAGCAUUCUUGGUAAGCCCAAUUUUUUUUUCUGUUUUGCUAUUUUGGUGGAGAGAAAGGAACACAUAAAGGAAUAACAUGAGAGAAAGCUAUUUGGGGAAGUGUAGUAGUUAAGGUUCUGGUUGCAAACAACAACUCCAGCUAGUUAAGUUGACUUUAGUGGAAGGAUACUGGGGUAUCUCAUGGAAUCUUGGGAACUGUUGAAUAACCAGGGAAACUCUGGGAAACUCACUGGUAGGAAUCCAUAAACUGUCCUCCUGGUGGGCUGUAAACAACUCACCCUCUAUGUAUCUCACAUCAAAAUUCCAGUUUCUUGGGAAAACAAGUCUGUUUGCCCAAUUUGGGUCAUAUUUCCACCUCCAUGUUACUCAGGCAUGAUUCAUCUGCAAGUUAUGUGUAUAGAUAUUUUGCUACUGUUCCACCCUUGUGCUGUGCUGGGGAGGGAGGUGUCACUGUGAGCUGUGUGGCUGCCUUAAGAGAUAUCUGUUGUAGCUUAUUACUUGGUUGCCUUUCCCCACAUGUACAAUGACAAAAAUGCCUUCAACCUAUUUGAUCCAGCCGUUCCAGUACAACUCCUAUACUUGCCAUCUUUCCAAGCCCAAAGGUACAUCCAGCUGAUGGAAGGAGCAUCUUGGUGUUAAUAUUCUUUUAGUCAUGGUCUCUGAAAGUAAAAUGUCUGUUCUUCUAAUUCUGGCACAAUCUUAUCUAGCUAUAGUUCCUCAUGGUCCUGCACUCCAUGGACUAAAUUGUAAGUAUAAUUACUACCAAUGUACUCUAUAAAUAACUUUUGGGGCCAGGGUGGCAAUAGUUGCUACAGAAAAAAAAAAAAAAAAAAAAAGGAAGGAGAAGAAAACAGUGAUAGUUCUUAUUUUAAAAGGAAAAAAAGAGGCAGGAGGCUCUCUUGAGGCCAGGAGUUUAAGACCAGCUUAGGCAGCAUUUCAAGACCCUGUCUCUACUAAAAAGUAAAAAAAAAAUUUAGUCAGGCAUGGUGGCAUGCACUUGUAGUUGUAGCUACUCAGGAGACUGAGGUGGGAGGAUUGAUUGAGCCCAGGAGUUCGAGGCUGCAGUGAGCAAUCAUCAUGCCAUUGCGCUCCAGCCUGGGCAUCAGAGCAAGACCUUGUCUUUUAGGAAAAAAAGGCGGGGAGGAGGAAUAGGUAAUUUUUCAGUGUUCAGACAUUCCAGCAAUAUAUGUGGACUACUCAUUCUCACUACAGUUUAUGAGUCCGUAGCUAGUAUGUAUGACUACCCAUCCAAGUUUCCCUGCUUACAGUUAAUAUUCCAACUGAUUGGGGGGCUUUGCCUAAUAGAGUGAUUUAAGCCUUCAUUUUUAGACAUCUAAGCCCUUGGUGAUCAUCAGCAUAAAAUGUGACAAAUUAAACAAAAGCAAGACAGCAGAUCAGAGAACAACUCUGAGGUGGAAUGAUUGAGAACCAAUGAAUAGUUGUUCAGUAAAUGGUUUAUAUUUUACAGAUGAUGAAACUGAAACACAAAAAAUUUAGAUUAGCUCUUAGGUGACAAAGCCAGGAUUGAAGCUCAUGCGGUCUGGCUCCAGAACAACUCUUCUUCAUAGUUACAUUAUACUGCCCCUGCAUUGUUGGUAUUGAAAAAUUUCCUUUUCAUCACUUGUAAAAGUCAACUCUCUAACUACUGCAUCUCACAGCUGAACAGAUAACUGAUACCGUGCUUCCAGAAGAUUUUUCUAACAGUGUUUGCAGGCUAUAAAAUAGUGCUUUCACUUAGAAAAGGCCAGACAUGGUGGUUCAUGCCUGUAAUCCCUAGCACUUUGAGAGGCCAAGGCACCAUGCCGGGAGAUAAGGAUCCAACAUAAGACAAACAGGGCUGAUGCUUUUGGAAAGCUCAUAUUCAAGCUGGGGAGACAAACAACAUACAAGUUGCUGUAGCUACCUUCUGCAUAUGGAUAUCCAGUUUUCCCAGCACCACUUAUUAAAGAGACUGUCUUUUCUGCAGUGUAUAUUCUUGGCACCAUUGUUGAAAAUGAAUUCAUUGUAGGUGUGUGGGUUUGUUUCUGGGUUCUCUAUUCUGUUCAACUUGUCUAUGUGUCUGUUUUUAUGCCAGUACCAUGUCAUUUUAGUUACCAGAGCUCUGCAGUAUAAUUUGAAACCAGGUCAUGUGAUUCCUCCAGUUUUGUGGUAUUAGGAUAGGUUUGGCUAUUCUGAGUCUUUUGUGGUUCCAUAUAAAUUUUAGAAUCUUUUUUUUCUAUUUCUGUGAAGAAUGUCAUUGGUAUUUUGAUAGGGAUUGCAUUGAAUCUGUAGAUUGCUUUGGGUAGUAUGGACAUUUUAACAAUAUUCAUUCUUCCAAUCCAUGAACAUG